rnacentral:rRNA from 1 species
UACGUAGGGUGCGAGCGUUAAUCGGAAUUACUGGGCGUAAAGCGUGCGCAGGCGGUUUUGUAAGCCAGAUGUGAAAUCCCCGGGCUCAACCUGGGAACUGCAUUUGUGACUGUAGAGCUGGAGUGCGGCAGAGGGGGAUGGAAUUCCGCGUGUAGCAGUGAAAUGCGUAGAUAUGCGGAGGAACACCGAUGGCGAAGGCAGCCCCCUGGGCUGACACUGACGCUCAGGCACGAAAGCGUGGGGAGCAAACAGG